rnacentral:rRNA from 1 species
CCUACGGGAGGCAGCAGUGAGGAAUAUUGGACAAUGGGCGCAAGCCUGAUCCAGCCAUGCCGCGUGCAGGAAGACGGUCCUAUGGAUUGUAAACUGCUUUUAUACAGGAAGAAACACCUCUACGUGUAGAGACUUGACGGUACUGUAUGAAUAAGCAUCGGCUAACUCCGUGCCAGCAGCCGCGGUAAUACGGAGGAUGCAAGCGCUAUCCGGAAUCAUUGGGUUUAAAGGGUCCGUAGGCGGUUUAAUAAGUCAGUGGUGAAAGCCCAUCGCUCAACGAUGGAACGGCCAUUGAUACUGUUAAACUUGAAUUAUUAGGAAGUAACUAGAAUAUGUAGUGUAGCGGUGAAAUGCUUAGAGAUUACAUGGAAUACCAAUUGCGAAGGCAGGUUACUACUAAUAUAUUGACGCUGAUGGACGAAAGCGUGGGGAGCGAACAGGAUUAGAUACCCUGGUAGUCCACGCCGUAAAACGAUGGAUACUAGCUGUUCGGUAGACAUACUGAGUGGNGUAGACGAAGUAGAGUAAGUAUACCACCGUCGGGAGGUACGUUACGUCGAGAAGAGAAACGUACGAAAGUAGUAAGUUAGUACGGUACGUAGAGACGUUAGCCGACGGACGACGACGAGGGGAGGAGGGNG